CAACUUUCAACAACGGAUCUCUUGGCUCUCGCAUCGAUGAAGAACGCAGCGAAAUGCGAUAAGUAAUGUGAAUUGCAGAAUUCAGUGAAUCAUCGAAUCUUUGAACGCACCUUGCGCUCCUUGGUAUUCCGAGGAGCAUGCCUGUUUGAGUAUCAUUAAAAUCUCAAUCCUUU
rnacentral:rRNA from 1 species